UAUUCUGGUGUCCUAGGCGCAGAGGAACCACACCAAUCCUUCCCGAACUUGGUGGUUAAACUCUACUGCGGUGACGAUACUGUAGGAGGGGUCCUGCGGAAAAAUAGCUCGACGCCAGGAUGAUAAAAAGC
rnacentral:rRNA from 1 species